UUAUUUGAGAGUUUGAUCCUGGCUCAGGAUGAACGCUGGCGGCGUGCCUAACACAUGCAAGUUGAGCGAUUUACUUCGGUAAAGAGCGGCGGACGGGUGAGUAACGCGUGGGUAACCUACCCUGUACACACGGAUAACAUACCGAAAGGUAUGCUAAUACGGGAUAAUAUAUUUGAGAGGCAUCUCUUGAAUAUCAAAGGUGAGCCAGUACAGGAUGGACCCGCGUCUGAUUAGCUAGUUGGUAAGGUAACGGCUUACCAAGGCGACGAUCAGUAGCCGACCUGAGAGGGUGAUCGGCCACAUUGGAACUGAGACA
rnacentral:rRNA from 1 species